rnacentral:rRNA from 1 species
CUACGUGCCAGCAGCCGCGGUAAUACGGAAGGUUCGGGCGUUAUCCGGAUUUAUUGGGUUUAAAGGGAGCGUAGGCCGGAGAUUAAGUGUGUUGUGAAAUGUAGACGCUCAACGUCUGACUUGCAGCGCAUACUGGUUUCCUUGAGUACGUACAACGUUGGCGGAAUUCGUCGUGUAGCGGUGAAAUGCUUAGAUAUGACGAAGAACUCCGAUUGCGAAGGCAGCUGACGGGAGCGCAACUGACGCUGAAGCUCGAAGGUGCGGGUAUCGAACAGGAUUAGAUACCCUGGUAGUCCGCACAGUAAACGAUGGAUGCCCGCUGUUGGUACCUGGUAUCAGCGGCUAAGCGAAAGCAUUAAGCAUCCCACCUGGGGAGUACGCCGGCAACGGUGAAACUCAAAGGAAUUGACGGGGGCCCGCACAAGCGGAGGAACAUGUGGUUUAAUUCGAUGAUACGCGGGGAACCUUACCCGGGCUUGAA